rnacentral:rRNA from 1 species
UACGUAGGGGGCAAGCGUUGUCCGGAAUCAUUGGGCGUAAAGCGCGUGUAGGCGGCUCGGUAAGUCCGCUCUGAAAGCCCGGGGCUCAACCCCGGGAGGCGGGUGGAUACUGCUGAGCUCGAGUCCGGAAGAGGCGAGUGGAAUUCCUGGUGUAGCGGUGAAAUGCGCAGAUAUCAGGAGGAACACCGAUGGCGAAGGCAGCUCGCUGGGACGGUACUGACGCUGAGACGCGAAAGCGUGGGGAGCAAACAGG